rnacentral:rRNA from 1 species
AAAUAACAACACUGGAAAUUUUAUUUCUAGUGAUUGGAAUGAUGGGAAUUUAAACCCCUUUCAGAGUAACAAUUGGAGGGCAAGUCUGGUGCCAGCAGCCGCGGUAAUUCCAGCUCCAAUAGCGUAUAUUAAAGUUGUUGCAGUUAAAAAGCUCGUAGUUGGAUGUCUGCUGGAAGCAAUCAGUCCGCCCUAUUUGUAGGGUGUGCACUUGAUGAAUUCUGGCAUUUUUGUCCCAAUGAUGUAGCGGGGCGGUGGUAUUGGGUGAAAGCUCAAUAGCGUCUUUUCCGAUUAUUGGGAUACUGUUACUUUGAGAAAAUUAGAGUGUUUGAAGCAGGCUAAUUGCCUUGAAUACUGCAGCAUGGAAUAACAAUAUAGGAUUUCGGUUCUAUUUUGUUGGUUUCUAGGACUGAAAUAAUGAUUAAUAGGGACAGUUGGGGGCAUUCGUAUUUAACUGUCAGAGGUGAAAUUCUUAGAUUUGUUAAAGACGAACUACUGCGAAAGCAUUUGCCAAAGAUGUUUUCAUUAAUCAAGAACGAAAGUUAGGGGCUCGAAGACGAUCAGAUACCGUCGUAGUCUU